UCCCCGUUCUCCUGGGCAGUCUCUCUAGAGUUCCCGGCAUGACCCGAUGGCAACUAAAGACAGGGGUUUCGCUCGUUAAGGGACUUAACCCGACAUCUCACGACACGAGCUGACGACAGCCAUGCAACACCUUUAUACGUUCCACCGGUUAAGGUGUCACUCUACUUUCAUAGAGCUAAUCCGUACACUUCGAGCCCGGGUAAGGUUCUUCGCGUUGCAUCGAAUUAAGCAACAUGCUCCACCGCUUGUGUGAGCCCCCGUCAAUUCUUUUGAGUUUCAGCCUUGCGACCAUACUCCCCAGGCGGGAUACUUAACGCUUUCGCUCCGGCAAGGAACCCCUUGCAGGGUCCCCUACUUAGUAUCCAUCGUUUAGGGCGUGGACUAC
rnacentral:misc_RNA from 1 species